rnacentral:rRNA from 1 species
UCGGGUGGGGAAUAACAACCGGAAACGGUUGCUAAUAGCGCAUAAUGCAGCGGCACCUAAUGGUGACAGUUGUUAAAGCGGGGGAUCGCAAGACCUCGCGCCUGAAGAGAAGCUCGCGGCGGAUUAGCUAGUUGGUAGGGUAAUGGCUUACCAAGGCGACGAUCCGUAGCCGGCCUGAGAGGGCGGUCGGCCACACUGACACUGACACACGGGUCAGACUCCUACGGGAGGCAGCAGUCGGGAAUUUUGGGCAAUGGGCGAAAGCCUGACCCAGCAACGCCGCGUGAAGGAUGAAGUUUUUCGGAAUGUAAACUUCACAAGAACGGGAAGAAUAAGAGAGGGUCAAUACCCCUCUCGAUGACGGUACCGUUUGUAAGCUCCGGCUAACUCCGUGCCAGCAGCCGCGGUAAUACGGGGGGAGCAAGCGUUGUUCGGAUUUACUGGGCGUAAAGGGCGCGUAGGCGGCGCAACAAGUCACUUGUGAAAUCUCCGGGCUUAACUCGGAGCGGCCAAGUGAUACUGUCGUGCUAGAGUGCGGAAGGGGCAACUGGAAUUCUCGGUGUAGCGGUGAAAUGCGUAGAUAUCGAGAGGAACACCUGCGGCGAAGGCGGGUUGCUGGGCCGACACUGACGCUGAUGCGCGAAAGCCAGGGGAGCGAACGGGAUUAGAUACCCCGGUAGUCCUGGCCUUAAACGAUGGAUGCUUGGUGUCCGGGGUUACAUAGUCCCCGGGUGCCGUCGCUAACGCCUUAAGCAUCCCGCCUGGGGAGUACGGUCGCAAGACUGAAACUCAAAGGAAUUGACGGGGACCCGCACAAGCGGUGGAGCAUGUGGUUUAAUUCGACGCAACGCGAAGAACCUUACCUGGGC